UUUGAGGCUAGAUCUUCCAAACUCUGUCAGGUUGAUCAUCAAUCAUGUCUGUGUCUAAGAGUCUCCUAGGGAGAUUUUAAAAUAAUGGAGUUCAGAUCCUACCCCUAUAGAUUCAGAUCAAAUUGGCCUGGGGUAAGAUUGGCCUUUGAAUUUUUAAAGCUCCCCUGAAUGAUCCUGAGAUACAGAUGAAGUUGUAAUCUAUUCCAUAAGACCUGUUCUCAGUGAGUCUGGAACCAACAGCUUCAACUUCACUUGAAAGCAUUAGAAAUGAAGACUUCAGUCCCCAUCCCCACCCCCAUGGACUACUGAUGAGCAGUUCUGAAAAGGCCAGAAUUCUGUUUUAUUGAACUGUUCUGUUGAUUAUGAUGCGUGAUCAAAGCUGAAACUCUCAUCAGUGACCUGAAGAGAAGUUUUCCACCAGCUUCAGUAUUUCUGUAAACAAAGAAAGCCCUAAGUCUUCCACAAAGGAAGCUCUUCAAGGUAGCUCUGCAGACCUCAGUGGAAGCUGAAUGAAAUAUGGGACAGAGCUUUGUAAAAGCUCCCUCCUCCAGUUUAGUGACACUAUUCAUACAGACUAAAGUGAGAUGGUCUUCCAAUGGUGUUCCCAGGUUGGGAGAGACCCUCAAAAGGGUAAAAGAAGAAAAGGAAACCAAUGUUACUAAAACUUGUUUUAUGCCAUUGG